GGGUCGUUAGCUCAACCGGCAGAGCAUCUGACUCUUAAUCAGGAGGUUACAGGUUCGAUUCCUGUACGACCCACCA
rnacentral:tRNA from 1 species